UCCUGAACCUUGAAUUAUCUUAGGAAAGAUU
rnacentral:piRNA from 1 species